rnacentral:lncRNA from 1 species
CCGUCUCUCUGUGUGAAGAGCGCAAUUGCUAGUUCCUAAGUAAACUACCUUUGUUUGUUUCACAGCACAGGGGUAGAUCAAGUCUUCCAGAGUCUGUGUUCUACUCAUUUGGAAAAACUGUGUCUAACCCUGCACACCGGCUUGAAAUCGCUUCAGAAGUUCUGAGGGCAACUUUCACAGGCUGCUGGUGGAGAAAAGCACGUCAGAUAUUCUCAAUGGUAUGUAUAAUCAGAUUGUACAAAUAAGAACAACAGUCAGACU